rnacentral:rRNA from 1 species
GUCUAUGGCCAUGCUACCCUGAACAAGCCCAAUCCUGUCUGAUCUUGGAAGCUAAGCAGAGUCGGGCCUGGUUAGUACUUGGAUGGGAGAUCACCUAGGAAGACCAAGUGCUGCAGGCG